rnacentral:lncRNA from 1 species
UUCAGCAGCCAGCCUGCGCCCCGUGAGCCACCAGCCAGGUCCAGGAGGGUUGAAUUACCAUCCUGGGCAGCUGGCACAGCAGCCCUGCUUCUGCCCAGGGAAGUCAUGAAUUAUGGAAGGCGUGAGUUUUCAGCCAGCCCAGCAGCUGAGGGAGGAUUCAGCCCCUCCUGAGCGAUCUGCCCUGUCCCACCAGCCCAGUCUGGACUUGUGCUGAUGGGACACCAAGCACUGUGCUGGAAAUGAUCCCUCGUGCCUGCAGCUUCACAGGAAAUACCUGAGCAGACCUGGUUUGUAGGAGAGACACAGGUUCCAAGUCCCAUGUAACCACCUUAGAUCAAAGCGUCGUCCCUGGCAGCUCUUGGAGGAGCAGCUGAAGGAUGCAGUGCAGGAGGAGAACUGCCUGAGCCUGCAGCAUGCCAGCGUGUGCCCCCGAGCAUUGCAGCGCGGCCAGGUAACGCACGGCAGCUGUGCCAGCUGUGCCAGCUGUGCCAGGUGUGCUUGGUGUCCCCAGGUGUGCCCAGGUAUGCCCUAAAAGGUCUCUGUGUGCUGCAGUGUGGAUUUCCCUGUCAGAUCUGCAUGGCAGAGUGCUGGGAGGAGAGGCUGGCGAGCCCCACCUCAGCACAUCUGCACCCCAGAUGUGCAGCAGGAGCCAGCCCUGGGCUCUGAUGGGCAUGGCGUGGCCACUGGGAGCUGGG